rnacentral:rRNA from 1 species
AGGAUCAUUAUUGAAUAAACAUUUGAUAGGCUGUUGCUGGCCCUUCUAGGGUAGUGUGCACGCUUGUCAUUUAUUUAUUUAUCUUUAACCACCUGUGCACCUUUUUGUAGAUCUUAGAGAAAGCAAAUUGUCUUGAGCAAUCAGGAUAGGUUUUGGGGACUGCUGUUCCUUUCAAAUGAAGUGCCAGCUUUUCCUUGUCUCUCUAGGUUCUAUGUUACUCACAUACUCCUAUGAAUGUAAUAGAAUGUUGAUCUGGGUCUUUGGUGCCCAUAAAGUUAUAUACAACUUUCAGCAAUGGAUCUCUUGGCUCUCGCAUCGAUGAAGAACGCAGCGAAAUGCGAUAAGUAAUGUGAAUUGCAGAAUUCAGUGAAUCAUCGAAUCUUUGAACGCAUCUUGCGCUCCUUGGUAUUCUGAGGAGCAUGCCUGUUUGAGUGUCAUUAAAUUCUCAACUACACUGACUUUGAUUAGUGUGGCUUGGAUUUGGGGUUGUUGUGGGCUUUUGUAGUCUGCUCCCCUGAAAUUAAUUAGCGGUGUCUCAGUGGAACUGUCUACAGGUGUGAUAAUUAUCUACAUCCUAGACAUCUGCUGGAAUGGGGUUAAUGCUGCUUUCUAAACCUUACUUGUAUUGACAAUCUUGACCUCAAAUCAGGUAGGACUACCCGCUGAACUUAAGCAUAUCAAUAAGCGGAGGAAAAGAAACUAACAAGGAUUCCNUUAGUAACUGCGAGUGAAGUGGGAAAAGCUCAAAUUUAAAAUCUGGCGGUCAUUUGGCUGUCCGAGUUGUAAUCUAGAGAAGUGUUGCCCGUGCUGGACCAUGUACAAGUCUCCUGGAAUGGAGUAUCACAGAGGGUGAGAAUCCUGUCUUUGACAUGGACUACCAGUGCUUUUGUGGUAUGCUCUCAAAGAGUCGAGUUGUUUGGGAAUGCAGCUCAAAAUGGGUGGUAAAUGCCAUCUAAAGCUAAAUAUUGGCGAGAGACCGAUAGUGAACAAGUACCGUGAGGGAAAGAUGAAAAGAACUUUGGAAAGAGAGUUAAACAGUACGUGAAAUUGCUGAAAGGGAAACGCUUGAAGUCAGUCACGUUGACUUGGAAUCAGCUCUGCUUUUGCUGGGUGUACUUUCUUGUCAAUGGGUCAGCAUCAAUUUUGACCAUUGGAUAAAGUCAUUGGGAAUGUAGCAUCUUUAGAUGUGUUAUAGCCUGGUGAUGCAUACAGUGGUUGGGAUUGAGGAAUUCAGCACGCCACCAGGCCGGGUUUCGACCACGUUCGUGCUUAGGAUGCUGGCAUAAUGGCUUUAAUUGACCCGUC